rnacentral:rRNA from 1 species
CACUGGCCCGGCCGAAAAGAAACGUUGCGGACGAAGCGAACUACAUCGGGACGCUUUGGCCGCCGAGCGAAAAAAAAACACCAUUGAGCUCGACCUCAGAUCAGGUAGGAGUACCCGCUGAACUUAAGCAUAUCAAUAAGCGGAGGAAAAGAAACCAACAGGGAUUGCCCCAGUAGCGGCGAGUGAAGCGGCAAGAGCUCAGAUUUGAAAUCGUGCUAAUUUUUUUGGCACGAGUUGUAGAGUGUAGGCGGGAGUCUUUGUGGAGCACGGUGUCCAAGUCCCUUGGAACAGGGCGCCUGAGAGGGUGAGAGCCCCGUGGGGUGCCGUGCGAAGCUCUGAGGCCCUGCUGACGAGUCGAGUUGUUUGGGAAUGCAGCUCCAAGUGGGUGGUAAAUUCCAUCUAAGGCUAAAUACUGGCGAGAGACCGAUAGCGAACAAGUACUGUGAAGGAAAGAUGAAAAGCACUUUGAAAAGAGAGUGAAACAGCACGUGAAAUUGUUGAAAGGGAAGGGUAUUGGGCCCGACAUGGGGAGUGCGCACCGCUGUCUCUUGUAGGCGGCGCUCUGGGCGCUCUCUGGGCCAGCAUCGGUUCUUGCUGCGGGAGAAUGGGUGCCGGAAAGUGGCUCUUCGGAGUGUUAUAGCCGGCGCCAGAUACCGCGUGCGGGGACCGAGGACUGCGGCUUCUGUCUCGGAUGCUGGCACAACGGCGCAAUACCGCCCGUCUUGAAACAUGGACCAAGGAGUCUAACGUCUAUGCGAGUGUUUGGGUGUA